rnacentral:lncRNA from 10 species
CCACCAUGUAAGAUGAGCCUUUGUUCCUCCUUUACCUUCUGCCAUGAUUGUGAGGCUUCCCCAGCCACAUGGAACUAAAUACUGGACAAGAUGUAAUCAUCAUUCCCAAUCUUUGAGUCCUAAGAACUGUCCUCAGAGAAGAGUGUUCUUCAUCUGGAUUAGAAUUCUACAAAGCCUUCAGACUAGGAGACCCUUACUCUUUCUCAUCUGCUGCUUUGAGGGAGCUCCAUACCAAGAGUCCUACCAGCUGGGAGAAAGCCUCCUUGAAGAACACGUCAUAACUCCUAGUAGCACAUAGCUAUCCUCAGGCAGCACAACUUUAUCUCUACUGGUGGAGUGUCAGAUACUUUGGGCAUCUGGAUGAAGGAAAAUUUCAGGUUCUCAGAAUCUCCCUUUAUACAGGUGGCCUCUUCUACAUAGAUCCAGGAGUCCAUCUGGCCUGGAGUGAGCACAGAAGCUAAGAGCCAUAGCAGAGUGUGGUAUCAUUUCCAAAUAUUUGCUGCCCUGCAUGGUGACAGAAUGAUUCGUCCCAGCUACAUGGAUAUCAGGCUUGGUCAUUGAGUUUGUUUUGGCCAAUGAGAUGUGAACAGAAGUGGGGCACAUCACUUCCAAAUUAACACCCUAAAAGCCGCCAAGAAGAUCCCCCCCAUCCCUGUCUUUCCCCACUGCUGACGAAGAGCAACAUCUGAGAAGGGCAAUCUCCCAGGCAGGGGCUGCCUCUUCAGCCAGGGUCUCAGAAUGAUGAUGAUGUGCAGGCUGCAGCAGGCCCCAGAUGAAUACGUGGUGUCCAAUAUGGAGCAUAAGGAAGAAUACACCUUUGUUUGUUGGGCCUGCUUGGUGUUCAGUGUCAUUUCUAGGAUGAUCCCUGCUACAGUGGGGUCCCUCCACUACAGCUGAGUCCCUCUGCUACUCUUGCAAUGGAACACUGGGGCUUGGAGUUAAGAGAACAUGUCAUAGAGGGAAGCAUAAAUCCCCUGGCCUCUUGAAAUGCAAGUCCUAUGUUUAGCUACAGAAUGGUAAACAUUCUUCUCGUUCUAAAUAAAGUAACCAUUCCAUGUUCAAACUGCGACUUGUUUUGCAUUUUUUCUCCCAUUGAAAUAGCAUGUGGCAUGGGAAGAGUACCCUCUGUAAGUCUAGGUUCCAGAAAUAGAUCUUUAAUCUUUCCUUAUAACUCGCCUUGUGUUUCUAGGUCUUUUUGUUCCCC